AGCAGCCGCGGUAAUUCCAGCUCCAAUAGCGUAUAUUAAAGUUGUUGCAGUUAAAAAGCUCGUAGUUGAAUUUUGGGUUUGGCCGAUUGGUCCGUUCUUGUAGCGAGUACUGGUCGGCUGGGCCUCACCGCUUGGUGAUGCGUAAUGUCCUUUAUUGGGUGUUGCGAGUAGCCAAGACCUUUACCUUGAAAAAUUAGAGUGUUUAAAGCAGGCUUAUGCCAGAAUACAUUAGCAUGGAAUAAUAGAAUAGGACGAUUUAUCUAUUUUGUUGGUUUCUAGGAAAAUCGUAAUGAUUAAUAGGGAUAGUUGGGGGCA
rnacentral:rRNA from 1 species